UACAGAGGGUGCAAGCGUUGUUCGGAAUUAUUGGGCGUAAAGCGUCCGUAGGUGGUGGUUCAAGUCUGCUGUCAAAAACUGGGGCUUAACCCCAGGAAGGCGGUGGAAACUGAACUGCUAGAGUGUGGUAGGGGCAGAGGGAAUUCCCAGUGUAGAGGUGAAAUUCGUAGAUAUUGGGAAGAACACCGGUGGCGAAGGCGGCAACCUGGUCCUUGACUGACGCUGAGGCGCGAAAGCGUGGGGAGCAAACAGG
rnacentral:rRNA from 1 species